rnacentral:rRNA from 1 species
GCUUUUGGAUUUAUUUAGGAUUUAUUUGGGUUGAAUUUUUUAUAAAAAUAUUUUAUUUUUAGUAUUGUAAGAGAAAUAUUUUGAUUUAUUAUAGUUUAUAAGUAUUGUGAAAGAAAUUUGAAAUACUUUGAAAAAUUAAGUUUUUUAAAGAAAAAUUAAGUUUUUGUACCUUGUGUCUCAGGGUUUAUUAAUUUUUAAUUAAAGAUUUAAUUUUCUCGAAUUAGGAAGAGUUAAAAAAUUAUUUAUUUUAUUGUAAAAUAAAUAUUUAUAAUAGUUUUUUAGUAAUGAAAUGUUAUUCGUUUUCUGUGAUAUCUAGUUUUUCAAGAAUGAAAUUUAAUUUUUCUAUUAAAGAUUACAGAUUUAAUUUUUAGAUUAUGUAUUAUUAAUAUUGAAUAUUUAAGGGGUAAAGCUUUUAAAUAUAAUUUUAAAAUUGUAAAGUUAUUGUUAAAAUGUAAGAUUAGAAAUUUCUAUCAUUGAGAGUUUGUUAUAAUUUAUUUAUUUUAUAAUAAUAUUUUUAUUUUAAUUUAAAUUUUUUAUUGAAAUAUUAGUUAUAUUUUUAAAAAUUAAGUGAUAAUGAUAAAAUUAGUAUAGUUUAAUGUAAAUUUAAUUUUUUAUGUAAGGUAAAAUUAAGGAAUUAGGCAAAAUAUUUUUUCACCUGUUUAUUAAAAACAUGUCCUUUUGAACAUAAUUUAAGGUCUGACCUGCCCAGUGAUAAUUUAAAUGGCCGCGAUAUUUUGAUCGUGCGAAGGUAGCAUAAUCAUUAGUUUUUUAAUUGAGAGCUGGAAUGAAUGGUUGAAUGAGAGAAAUACUGUCUCGAUUUUAAUUAAAGUAGAAUUUUAUUUUUAAGUGAAAAAGCUUAAAUAUUUAUUAAAGACGAGAAGACCCUAUAGAGUUUAAUAAUUUUAUUUUAAUGGAAUUAAAGGAUUAGAUUAAUAUUUAUUUAAAAAAUUAUUUGAUUGGGGUGAUUAUAAAAUUGAAUGAACUUUUAAAUUAUUUUUAUACUGAUUAGUAAAUGUUUGAUUUACUUUUUGUGAUUAAAAGAAUAAAUUACCUUAGGGAUAACAGCGUAAUUUUUUUUGAGAGUUCUUAUCGAAAAAAGAGAUUGCGACCUCGAUGUUGGAUUAAAAUUAAUUUUUGGUGUAGAAGCUAAAAAAUUUAGUCUGUUCGACUAUUAAAAUUUUACAUGAUCUGAGUUUAAACCGGUGUGAGCCAGGUUGGUUUCUAUCUUGAUAUAAAUAAAAUAUUUUAGUACGAAAGGACCAAAUGUUUGAUAAAUUAUCUGAGGAUUGAAUAUAUAUUAAUA